GCAGUGAUGGCCGAGUGGUUAAGGCGUCUGACUAGAAAUCAGAUGGGAUCUUCCCGCGUAGGUUCGAAUCUACUCACUGCG
rnacentral:tRNA from 1 species